rnacentral:rRNA from 1 species
AAGGUAUCCUAUAGCCAAUUCAUAACUAUAGGAAGCGAACCAGGUGAACUGAAACAUCUAAGUAACCUGAGGAAAAGAAAGAAAACUCGAUUCCCAAAGUAGCGGCGAGCGAACAGGGAAGAGCCCAAAGUGUAAAAAGAGAAAAUAGCUAGUCGAAUAAUCUGGGAAGAUAAACCAAAGAAGGUAACAGUCCUGUAGACGAAAGCGAAAAUAUCCGACACAAAAGAGUACCACGGAACACGAGAAAUUCAGUGGGAACAUGGGGGGACCACCCCCUAAGGCUAAAUACUACUUGGUGACCGAUAGCGAACAAGUACCGUGAGGGAAAGGUGAAAAGAACCCCGGGAGGGGAGUGAAAUAGAAUCUGAAACCUAGUGUUUACAAGCAGCGAAAGUGGUUUCGCACCACGAUCGUGUACUUUUUGUAGAACGGGCCAGCGAGUUACGAUUAUUAGCAAGGUUAAACAUUACAGAUGUGGAGCCGCAGCGAAAGCGAGUCUUAAGAGGGCAGAAGUUAAUAGUCGUAGACCCGAAACCGUGUGAUCUAUCCAUGGGCAGAGUGAAGUUGAAGUAAAAUUCAAUGGAGGCUCGAACCGGGUAGCGUUUAAAAGCUAUCGGAUGACCUGUGGAUAGGGGUGAAAAGCCAAACGAACACGGAGAUAGCUGGUUCUCCUCGAAAUAGCUUUAGGGCUAGCCUCUAGUGGAAACAUGAAAAGGGGGUAGAGCACUGAAUGGUCAAGGGGCAUGCAUAUGUUACCGAGACCUAUCAAACUCCGAAUACCAUAUCAUGCACUAGGGAGUCAGACUAUGUGGGAUGAGCUUCAUAGUCGAAAGGGAAAGAGCCCAGACCAUCAGCUAAGGUCCCAAAAUUAUAGUUAAGUGGGAAAGGAUGUGGAGUUACUGAGACAACUAGGAUGUUGGCUUAGAAGCAGCCACUCAUUCAAAGAGUGCGUAAUAGCUCACUAGUCAAGUGACUCUGCGCCGAAGAUAACCGGGGCUAAACUAUAUACCGAAGCUAUGGAACGUAUAACGUUGGUAGAGGAGCAAUGUAUGAAGGACGAAGCAGAAGUCGUAAGGCGCUGUGGACACCAUACAAGAGAGAAUGCUGGCAUGAGUAGCGAGAGGUGAGUGAGAAUCUCACCCGUCGAAAACCCAAGGAUUCCUGAGCAAGGCUCGUCCACUCAGGGUAAGUCGGGACCUAAGGCGAGGCUGAAAAGCGUAGUCGAUGGACAACAGGUUGAAAUUCCUGUACCGAUACAAUCAUUAAAGGAAGUGGGGACGCAGGAGGA